GUAGAUAAAGAAGCCAUUAACAAUUGCGUAAGGUCUCAUAAAUGCCUUUAUGAUUAAAGUCUCAUGUAUACAAAUCAUUAUAUACGCCAAAUGCAUCAAAUUAUAUAAUAUCUAUAUUUGAUGAAAAGAGUGGAUUAUGGUAUCCUCUUGUUGAAAGGGCCCUUUGAUGAUGAAUAUUCACUUAUAUUAAAUAAUUCCGAAAUUUAUGACUCUUCAUUAAAGAAUGGAUCAUUAUAUGCUCCUGUAACUCCUUUUACCUCAAUUAAAGCAAAAAAGACACUAACUCAUAACAGGGAUUUAAUAUUGAGGAUG